rnacentral:rRNA from 1 species
GAUGAACGCUGGCGGCGUGCCUAAUACAUGCCAGUCGAGCGAACAGACGAGGAGCUUGCUCCUCUGACGUUAGCGGCGGACGGGUGAGUAACACGUGGAUAACCUACCUAUAAGACUGGGAUAACUUCGGGAAACCGGAGCUAAUACCGGAUAAUAUAUUGAACCGCAUGGUUCAAUAGUGAAAGACGGUUUUGCUGUCACUUAUAGAUGGAUCCGCGCCGCAUUAGCUAGUUGGUAAGGUACGGCUUACCAAGGCAACGAUGCGUAGCCGACCUGAGAGGGUGAUCGGCCACACUGGAACUGAGACACGGUCCAGACUCCUACGGGAGGCAGCAGUAGGGAAUCUUCCGCAAUGGGCGAAAGCCUGACGGAGCAACGCCGCGUGAGUGAUGAAGGUCUUCGGAUCGUAAAACUCUGUUAUUAGGGAAGAACAAAUGUGUAAGUAACUAUGCACGUCUUGACGGUACCUAAUCAGAAAGCCACGGCUAACUACGUG